CGGAAAAAGAUAAUAUAUAUAUUGACGAUACAACGUGUCGUAAAACGUAUCAAUGGAGAGAAUGAAUGAAGAACAUUCCACGAAAAUGACUAUUCAAGGGCGUGGUUUACCGGACAGUGUGACGUUCUCGCGAACGCGGCGCGUGACCUGUUCGUUAAAGCGCGCGAAUACAAUCGACGACGAUCGCAAGUUCGAUGAACUAAUCGAUCAAACAAAAGGAUCACGCGGUAAACGCUGGACCCGAUCAUUUCCUGCUCGAGUGUCCAACGCUUGCACCGCGAUCGAACCGGUCGAAUGAAGACCUGCGAGUUCGAGAUGAGAAAAAAAAUAUAUUACUGACCUCGGUCGCUAACUUUCCUUUCGACGCCAUCUUGACAACAAUGUGUGUCGGUCGACGUUCCGACUACCUGCUGCACGCCGCUACACUUGGACGAUGACCGAACGAAUCCUGCGGCUGUGCACGACACUGAUCUUGAUUCAAUCUUGAUAGCGAGUCACGGCUCGCGCCUCGUCUCGAACACGUCUCUUCACUUCCGUCUUCACCGGAACAAAUCGCGAGCGCCCACGAGUUUCGUAACGACGUUUCACGCGGCCGUACCAAAAUACUGAACUGACGUCACAGGCACGAAGCUUCUUUUCGUACUACACGUACUACAUACUACGAGGAGCACGAGUUUACAAGCGGCACGAAGGCACCCCGGCUGAUCAGAGUCGUAGCGUGCCCCUCCACUUUCAACAACGGCCGAUACGAGCACCUCCUUUCACUCGCUCUCGCUCUAUAAUUAUAAUACGGCGACUCUUUCCCUUCCUUACCACGCUGUAUUUAUCGUACUCUCUCGUUCCACCACGUUCACGCGAGCAACGACAAUCUCGUCCUCUCUUUCGUUCUGGACGAUCUCUCCUCGUCUCUCUCUCCUCGCAACACACGCGACAUACCGUACACGAUGAUCGGACGAAACCGGUCGAAUGUUUACGAAACACUCAAUUUUCGUGUUUCACUAAUACCGGAGCUCAAUUGAAACUCACUUCACAGCAUUGUGUUUGUCUUUUUUUACAUCUGCAAUCAAUGUUUUCACGAACGACUGUAAAUCAUGUACAAUACAUAAUUCGUACAACCGUAUAAUGAAAUUUUAUCGUAUACCGUUCUCUCUCUCUUGAAUUGAAUCGUUAACGCUCAUCGAAAGAGAAAAGAGCAAUUAACAAUUUCAUCUUUCCAAACAGUAUUCACAGUUCUACGCUCCGGUGGUAUGACGUAACGGAUGAAUUCAUACACAAGAAGUUGAGGUUAGGUAUCAGCUGGAGAGAAUCGUUGCGUCCCGCUCUCUUUCUUUCUCUCGGCGAGCAAUCCACCAGGGCGAAGGGAGAAUUCGUUUUAAUUCAGAGCGAAUUAACCUUCCUGCACGCUUUUGCCCUCGCUGAUCCCGGUUGGUUAAGCGCGGUCGAACGUCACGCGUCGUUUGCGAAUUUGAACUGGCACGAAAGCGCGCCAUUCCACGGCGCAAUCACCUGUGUUCACGCACUACGAUUAUCGAAUGAUUCUAUCGAUUGGUGUAACGGAUACUCGAUCGUUAUGAGAGAGUAUUGCAAAGUGGAAUGUCGUCUUGAGGGGUUAACAACAAGGAGUGUUUAAGGAAAGAGAUUCAUGGAGAAGUGGAAUCGAAUUAGAUACUUCACAAUAUUAAAGUGUUUUCUAUGAUUCAGCAAUGAUUGAACAUUCGUUUUGUACUCACGUAGGUGAAUGUCACAAAUGGAAUAUCGCAUCAGUGUUAUACAAUGCUUCAAGUGAAAUGUACUCAUGCGAGUUUUGGCUGAAUUUCAAAAUACAGAAGAGCAUAACUAAACAUAUAACGAUGAAAAAUUGUCGAUACUUUUAAACUGUUUUAAACCCAAAGAUAUUUUUAAAUUACGUAGCAGGUGGUGCAAAAUUGGCUCCACGAGAAGCAAUUUAUAUUUACCAGAAUAGCGGUGAUAAAGGUCAUAAAAUUUUUUUUGAAAAACGAUAAAAUAAUAUUAAUAUGAAAAAUCCAUAUGUACGUUCAGUUUUGUUCAUCGCUGUACAAACGUUUGAAUACUUCCGUGAAUCAUUUAUUUGCUGAACUUGGUGAUCGCAUUAUCUCGCUCGCGCCUUUUAUGAGAUUACACGUGCAUACAGAGUACGCGGUUUAAAAGCAUCUGUGUGCGAUGUUGCGCGCGACCUGUUUAUUUUCGGGCCGAUUCUCAUAUGCGGGGCACGCCCAGCUGAAUCAUUAUUGACAGACCUUCGCUGGAAUCGGUAUUGCACACGCGUGUCAUAUAACAGAAGACACAGGAGAAGAGAUGAGAAAAGAGAUAAGAUCCGAUCUAAAUAGUUUGUUUAGUUAGUUUAUCUAACUUCCGGAAAUGGGAUCGAAGGUAAAAUCAAUUCUUAAGUACAUCGUAAAAGUGCAAUUAACUUAAGAUCCUCGUUAAAAGCUCCUUCGUUUGGUAAGUAACUCUCCUU